UCUCCUGGAAACGGGUGGUAAUGCCGGAUGCUCCAGUUGACCGCAUGGUCCUCUGGGAAAGCUUUUGCGGUAUGGGAUGGGGUCGCGUCCUAUCAGCUUGAUGGCGGGGUAACGGCCCACCAUGGCUUCGACGGGUAGCCGGCCUGAGAGGGCGACCGGCCACAUUGGGACUGAGAUACGGCCCAGACUCCUACGGGAGGCAGCAGUGGGGAAUAUUGCACAAUGGGCGCAAGCCUGAUGCAGCGACGCCGCGUGCGGGAUGACGGCCUUCGGGUUGUAAACCGCUUUUGACUGGGAGCAAGCCCUUCGGGGUGAGUGUACCUUUCGAAUAAGCACCGGCUAACUACGUGCCAGCAGCCGCGGUAAUACGUAGGGUGCAAGCGUUAUCCGGAAUUAUUGGGCGUAAAGGGCUCGUAGGCGGUUCGUCGCGUCCGGUGUGAAAGUCCAUCGCUUAACGGUGGAUCCGCGCCGGGUACGGGCGGGCUUGAGUGCGGUAGGGGAGACUGGAAUUCCCGGUGUAACGGUGGAAUGUGUAGAUAUCGGGAAGAACACCACCCC
rnacentral:rRNA from 1 species